rnacentral:rRNA from 1 species
AGCUAACGUUGGCGGCGUGCCUAACACAUGCAAGUCGAACGCGCCUCGGGGGGCAACUCCCGAGAUGAGUGGCAGACGGGUGAGUAACACGUGGGUCAUCUCCCCUCGAGUGUGGAAUAAGCUCCCGAAAGGGGGUCUAAUACCGCAUGACGCCUCGGGACAUAAGUUUUCGGGGCCAAAGCCGCAAGGCGCUUGAGGAUGAGCCUGCGUCCUAUUAGCUAGUUGGUAGGGUAACGGCCUACCAAAGCUACGAUGGAUAGCCGGCCUGAGAGGGUGACCGGCCACACUGGGACUGAGAUACGGCCCAGACUCCUACGGGAGGCUG